CCUACGGGUGGCAGCAGUGAGGAAUAUUGGUCAAUGGACGAGAGUCUGAACCAGCCAAGUAGCGUGAAGGAUGACUGCCCUAUGGGUUGUAAACUUCUUUUAUAAAGGAAUAAAACGAGGCACGUGUGCCUUUUUGCAUGUACUUUAUGAAUAAGGAUCGGCUAACUCCGUGCCAGCAGCCGCGGUAAUACGGAGGAUCCGAGCGUUAUCCGGAUUUAUUGGGUUUAAAGGGAGCGUAGAUGGGUUGUUAAGUCAGUUGUGAAAGUUUGCGGCUCAACCGUAAAAUUGCAAGUGAUACUGGCAGUCGUGAGUACAGUAGAGGUAGGCGGAAUUCGUGGUGUAGCGGUGAAAUGCUUAGAUAUCACGAAGAACCCCGAUUGCGAAGGCAGCUUACUAAACUGUGACUGACAUUGAUGCUCGAAAGUGUGGGUAUCAAACAGGAUUAGAUACCCGGGUAGUC
rnacentral:rRNA from 1 species